CAUGUCACGAAAGAUCUAUAACAUUGAAUUCGAAACAGUUCAUCACCAAGAGGAAUUCCCAACAAGGUUUUGAGCAAUCAUUUCGAAUAAAGAAAAUGUGAUCGCAAAGCUUGCAUUCAAACGUAGAUGUACAGAUAAGUAUAAACGUCACAUAUAAGAGUGGAACAUUUUUCAAACUUGUCACAUAGAGCGAAUAUUACAUCAAAAUAACGUAUCGAUAUUUAAUCCGUAUCUAUUCAAUUAUGCGAAUCAUACGCCAUCUCUCGUGGCGCAAGCGCUGUUCUAAAAAGGGGACAAGGGCAGUACGAGCGUGUUGAAGAAUUAGGUACCUGUUGCCUAAUUCCUUCUUGGAGAAAUAUUUACGUGGACAGAUUUCGUUUCGUUUGUGGAUCACGUAACCCCAAAACUGAUUUUAUUAGGGACAAAAAAGCGAAUACGUAAGAAAAGAGCCGUAGAAAGCAGACAUUAAGUCACGACAUGCAACGUUGCACGUGUUUGUUAUUAAAACAUUCUGAUCACUGACAAAUCGCAAGUUUAAUGGCUUUCGAUUAUACGCAUCCAUAUUUGGAUAAUCGAUUAUCGAUUAUCUUCGUUUCUCGAUUAUGCGUCUGCGCAUUAUGUAACCAGUAAUAAUAUGCGGAUGCAUAGUCGCCAGGAUUCAAAGAGAAAAAAACAGAGAGCGACUUGUUCAACGAACAGACUUUCUCUCAUCUCGACAUCCUUCCCCAACGGCUUCCUUCAAUGAUAUUAACAACCAGAUAUAAUCAAGAAUUAGCAUUAGAAGGCUAUAUGCAUAAAAAUAAGAAAGAAAAUGCAGCAAUUUAUAACAUUCGUUGUAAUAAUGUAAAUUCUCGUAUUCGACCACGGAAAUUCACCGAUACUAAUUUCCUUCCCGUUUAAUUGCCUUAGUGAUUACGUUCAAUGCGCGUGCAUAACAAUGUCAAAGGAAUAAAAUUUUGAUUACGACACAAAGAGACAGAUUUACGCACGAUUAUGAAUACGCUCAAUUAAAUACAAUUAGACACGAAAUAUUAAGUAUCGCGCGGGUAGAUUUAAUAAACGUGGCAAAUAACUUGCGCUUUCUACGAGACACAUAAAAUUCAAACCACGCUUUUUCCUCUUAUUCUAUUCUCUUAUACUUUAUAUAACGAUAGUUACUAGAAAGUAACUAGGGGGAAAAAAAAAAUCCAAACGAAGGAAGAUCCAAUUCAGUUUUUUUCGCUCGAAACGAAAAUUCAAGGCUUCGUCGAUAUAAACGACGAAGGUCAUCAUACGUUGCGUUUCGUCCCGUUAACACGUCGUUAUUGAGUAAGACUUUACUUUCAUUUUCGUUCAUCUUGAAGAAUGUCCCUGAAGAAAUCGAAGCCGCGAUAAAGAUAUUCCUAUUCGCAUUUGAAUUUCGCUCGUUACGCUUCCAACACUUCUGAGCUAUUGAAUCUCGAUAAUUUUAAAUUCUUUCUUCAAAUUAAUUCCUCGACUAUUGCAAUAUCUGUUCAACGUAUUUAUCGAUCUUUUGACUUCAAUUAUCGUUCGAACGUAUAUCGAGCUUUGAAAUUUUCUAAAUUUCCUUUCCUCCAUAUUGUCUCGUGGAAUAAUUAUUGUGUGUGUGUGUGUGUGUGUGUGUGUGUGUGUGUGUGUGUGUGUGUGUGUGGUGUGUG